rnacentral:rRNA from 1 species
GGAUUGUAGUCUGCAACCCGACUACAUGAAGCUGGAAUCGCUAGUAAUCGCGGAUCAGAGUGCCGCGGUGAAUACGUUCCCGGGUCUUGUACACACCGCCCGUCACACCAUGGGAGUCGGAAAUGCCCGAAGUCUGUGACCCAACCUACGGGAGGGAGCAGCCGAAGGCAGGUCGGAUGACUGGGGUGAAGUCGUAACAAGGUAUC